UGUUAACGCCACUGUAUUGAAGAAUCAGUAUGGGAAGGCAGCUAAAAGGGCGGGGGAGUCAGAAGACCUGCCAUUUUGUUUGGCAUUGG
rnacentral:ncRNA from 2 species